GUAGGGGCCCGAGAAACCCUGUGAGCCGCCGCACUCACUUCCUCAGGGCCCCCUCAGGGAGGGGAUGAUGACAGCAGAGUCACUGUGGGGUUUUAAGGAUUAGUGAGGACCUAGCACUCACGGUAAUGCAUAUCACCUCCCCGGUAAAAUCGUUUUGAGUGGAGGCCAACUUCACCCACCAUGCUGGUCUUCUCCGCCACAAACCCCCUGGAAGCCCUGCUCCACCCAUCCUGGCUCCCCCGCCCACCAGGCAACAAGCAGUUCCUAAAUUCCUACGUGCCGGGUGCUGGACAAGGAGCAGGGACCCGGCAGUGAUGACAGACCCUGUACCCAGACCCUCCUCUCUGGCAGCGCAUGCAGCCCAGCCAGGCCCACACCCCCAGAGAUGGCCUGCACAGCACACUGCCACAUGUGGUCUCAGGUGGGGCUCUGAGCGAGCGCAAGGUCGGGGCACAGGUGGCCGCUGUGUGUCCCUCCCAGCACAUCCUGCACACCAUCUCCAGGCCCUGGUAGAUCCCCAGCCAUCCAUCACCACCACCAUGCCCAGGAGCCCGGCUGAGGAGCCCGGAUGGGGAGGGCGGCAGCAGUCCCAGCUUGAACCUGGCCACCACUCGUCCCAGGGACAACACAGCUUCCUCUCUGGACUCCAGGCUCCAGUCCAUCCACUGCACGAUUGCCAGGAGGCUCCAGCUAACUCUCAGUGUCCUGGUCCGAGAUGCCAUGCUGCUGGGCCUGCUCGUCCAGCAGGUCAAAGAAGUACUUCACAGCGAGCGGCACGGGACAGCUGGUGCUGAGAAUCACCUGGAACAGGGUGUUCAGGCGCCUCCACAGACCCUGGACCUCAGAAGUCACGUCCUCGUCGGAAAGAAUGAGAUGCCCGGCCACCCCAGACCGCCAUUCUGCAAGGACAAGAGCUCAAGGAUAUUUGCAGAAUGAGGAAGCGGCCCUCACAGGUGACAAGGCUGGUCUCCAACUACCACUCGGAUGUCCUCCAGCCGCCCGGUCAGAAGCUUGGAGCCGUGCAGGGGAACAUGGGUUCAAGCCCUGGUCCGGGAAGAUCCCACAUGCCGCAGAG